UACGUAGGGUGCGAGCGUUAGUCGGAAUUACUGGGCGUAAAGCGUGCGUAGACGGUUAUUUAAGUCGGGUGUGAAAGCCCCGGGCUCAACCUGGGAAUUGCAUUCGAGACUGAAUAGCUAGGGUACGGUAGAGGGAAGCGGAAUUUCCGGUGUAGCGGUGAAAUGCGUAGAUAUCGGAAGGAACAUCAGUGGCGAAAGCGGCUUCCUGGACCAGUACCGACGUUCAGGCACGAAAGCGUGGGGAGCAAACAGG
rnacentral:rRNA from 1 species